rnacentral:rRNA from 1 species
GAUGAACGCUGGCGGCGUGCCUAAUACAUGCAAGUCGAGCGAACGGACGAGAAGCUUGCUUCUCUGAUGUUAGCGGCGGACGGGUGAGUAACACGUGGGUAACCUACCUAUAAGACUGGGAUAACUUCGGGAAACCGGAGCUAAUACCGGAUGAUAUUUUGAACCGCAUGGUUCAAAAGUGAAAGACGGUCUUGCUGUCACUUAUAGAUGGAUCCGCGCUGCAUUAGCUAGUUGGUAAGGUAACGGCUUACCAAGGCAACGAUGCAUAGCCGACCUGAGAGGGUGAUCGGCCACACUGGAACUGAGACACGGUCCUGACUCCUACGGGAGGCAGCAGUAGGGAAUCUUCCGCAAUGGGCGAAAGCCUGACGGAGCAACGCCGCGUGAGUGAUGAAGGUCUUCGGAUCGUAAAACUCUGUUAUUAGGGAAGAACAUAUGUGUAAGUAACUGUGCACAUCUUGACGGUACCUAAUCAGAAAGCCACGGCUAACUACGUG